UUCGGAUGAGCAAAUCGCUUCCGAUUAGCUUCCGGUGACCUGCUGGGCUAAGAUUCUCACUGGAUCCUCUCUUGCGCCAAGGAGGGCAUGCGGUGGCGUGGCCGGCGGCCGCACGGAGACGCCGACACAGGCAAGCUUUUGCGAGGUGAACCAAUUAGCUAUCGACCUGCGUGGAGCAGCGCGGCGUAGCAGGCACUAAGGAGAGCGGAACCUGGGUGCAUCAGUGCCUCAAGUAGCAGCGCAGGUAUUGGAGGCUUCUACAAUAUCAUGUCUUAGAGGAGUUCUGAUUCAUUACCUCAUCUGUUGGGUUGUCGUGCCUAAUUCCAGAAAACAUGGUGUUCAUAAGGAGGUUGCAAAGACAUGCAGGGAUGGAAAGAUGUAAACAGACCUCAAGAUUUAAGCUAUAUAUAUUACCCAAACUUGAUGUUUUUGUCGUUUCUUCUUCCGUCCUUCGAUGUGCUGGGCGUCCCGACGUAUGUCGCCCCUUCGAUUUGUGUGGAUAUGUUGUUGUGUUGAUCUCCCUUCAAUGGGUGUUCCGGCGUCUAUUAUUCCGUGGGCGUUCUGGGGUGUCUGCCCCAACCUUUAUAUUAGUCAAAGGUUGCUGAGUUUGAAUUCUGUACGGAUGACUGUCCGCUGUAAAUUAUUCUGUUUGCAAUAGUAUACGUCCGUAUCCUUGACUAAUAGCAAUCCG